UUUUAAGCGAUUUCUAGAUGGCUUUUAAAAAAAACAAAAAACCUAGAAUAUCAAAGGAUGUUAUAAGUAAUAUGUGGGGUAACAACUUGUUGAUCCAAGUAGUGGCGUAACUGGCGUUCAAUAUGAUACAAGACUUUAGUUCCUUAUUGAGUAAAUAGCACUACAUGUUUCCUUUCUAAAUCAUUACUAUAUCACACAGAAGAAACUACAGACAUGACUGAAAAAUAAUUGGAAACGUUUCCAGGGAAGCAUUGGGAAACUAGUGCAAAUGCGCAGCAAAUCUCCGUGCAGAGCCAAAUAAAUGCUACUCUAUGUUUGACUUGGUUUUCACAGAGAAGAUCCUUAUUGGCUGUCAAGAAAAGAGGCACGUUUAACCCUGCAACAAAACAUUGGCAUACUAGAAGACAAUGUUUUAAAUUGCAGGGUUAAAAUGAAAGGAUCACUGCACCCAGACAGUUACUCUAAGAUGAAGUGGUCUGGAUGCCUUUAGUUUUUCUUUGAAACUCCUGGAGCAUUGCAGGGUCAAAUAGAUGGAUGUCUAGCCUGAAUAAUCGGUCUUGUUCAAUAGAGCAUUUUGUUUUGCAACAUAAGUUGAGAACGCAGUCUCAUGGAUAGAAGGGAGCAUUGGGUGAUGCUAUCCAGAGUUCUUGCACUGUAUUUGAGUCUGUGACUAUGACGAUUAAUGCGAAAUAAUUCUUUAAUGUGCUUGCUCAUGCUUCUCCUUUGUGUGAUGUUCCAGCAUGAAAGAUGGUAAUUCCCUAACAUUCAUCUCACAUUAAUUCAUUUUAAUUAAUAUCAUAUGCUCUCUCUGGGAUAUGUGGAUAAAAUCGGUUAUGCUUAUAUAUGUUAUGGACUAAUGCUGUAUUCAGUCUAAUGGUGGUGUUUUUUUUUUUUAAAUUUUGCAAUUUUGCUUUGUCUUAAGAUAU